UCGCCCUGGCCGCCCGUGCCCGCGCGCUGUGCGGCCGCCAUGUUGUUGUGGUUGUGAGGAGGCGGUGGCAGCGGAGAGGAGCCUAGCGACCCCGACCCGUCGCCCCCGCCCCAGGCAGGAGGCCGUGCCCCGGGGCGCUCCGCGCCAUGCCCCGUCGUACGCUUUUAAUGUGAAGUGUCAGAAAAGCAACAUCUGAAACUUGCUGGGACAAAGAAGACUCAUUUGUUACCUAUCACUAUUUGCUUUUACUAUUACGGAAAGAAGAGCCUCAAAGUGUUGUGAGCAAAGACGAGGAUUUCUCCUCCUAGCCUGGGUCUGUCAUGGAUGAAGAGACUCAGCACAGCCUUGAAUGCAUCCAGGCUAAUCAGAUCUUUCCCAGGAAGCAGCUGAUCCGAGAGGAUGAGAAUCUUCAGGUCCCUUUCCUUGAACUUCAUGGUGAGAGCACAGAGUAUGUGGGACGAGCAGAGGAUGCCAUCAUUGCACUUUCUAAUUACAGACUGCACAUCAAAUUCAAGGAGUCUGUUGUGAAUGUUCCAUUACAGCUUAUAGAAAGUGUUGAAUGCCGAGAUAUAUUUCAACUUCAUUUGACUUGCAAAGACUGCAAAGUUAUCAGGUGUCAGUUCUCUACCUUUGAGCAAUGUCAAGAGUGGCUUAAGCGACUGAACAAUGCCAUUCGCCCUCCUUCGAAGAUAGAGGACCUUUUUUCAUUUGCAUACCAUGCUUGGUGUAUGGAGGUGUAUGCCAGCGAAAAAGAACAGCAUGGGGAUUUGUGCCGGCCAGGGGAGCAUGUAACUUCGAGGUUUAAAAAUGAAGUUGAACGGAUGGGUUUUGAUAUGAACAAUGCCUGGAGGAUAUCCAAUAUCAAUGAGAAAUACAAGCUCUGUGGUAGCUACCCACAGGAGCUCAUAGUUCCCGCCUGGAUCACGGACAAGGAGCUGGAGAGUGUGGCAAGCUUUCGGUCCUGGAAGCGUAUCCCGGCUGUGGUUUACAGGCACCAGUGUAAUGGGGCAGUAAUUUCCCGUUGUGGACAGCCCGAGGUCAGCUGGUGGGGCUGGAGAAAUGCAGACGACGAACACCUUGUCCAGUCAGUGGCCAAAGCAUGUGCCUCAGACGCUAGGUCCAAAAGCAGCAAAUUAAUGAAUGGAAACUGUUCCAGAGACUUCUCCAAUGGAGGGGACCUCUCUGAUGUGGAAUUUGAUUCCUCAAUUUCUAAUGCUUCAGGAGCAGAAAGUUUGGCCAUCCAGCCUCAGAAGCUUUUGAUCUUGGAUGCACGUUCUUAUGCAGCUGCUGUGGCUAACAGAGCCAAAGGUGGCGGCUGUGAGUGCCCAGAGUAUUAUCCAAAUUGUGAAGUGGUGUUCAUGGGGAUGGCAAACAUCCAUUCUAUCCGGAAGAGCUUUCAGUCGCUGCGCUUGCUCUGCACACAGAUGCCAGACCCAGGAAAUUGGUUAUCAGCACUGGAAAGUACCAAAUGGCUGCAGCACUUGUCUGUGCUUCUGAAAUCUGCACUAUUGGUAGUGCAUGCAGUAGACAGAGACCAGCGACCAGUCUUGGUGCACUGCUCGGAUGGCUGGGACCGAACCCCACAGAUAGUGGCACUGUCCAAACUGCUGCUAGAUCCAUAUUACAGGACCAUAGAGGGUUUCCAGGUGCUAGUGGAGAUGGAAUGGCUGGAUUUUGGCCACAAGUUUGCAGAUCGCUGUGGCCAUGGUGAGAAUUCGGAUGACCUAAAUGAGCGCUGCCCAGUAUUUUUACAGUGGUUGGACUGCGUCCAUCAGCUCCAGAGGCAGUUCCCUUGCUCUUUCGAGUUUAACGAAGCAUUCCUUGUCAAAUUGGUGCAGCACACCUACUCUUGCCUCUUUGGUACAUUCCUGUGCAACAAUGCGAAGGAGAGAGGAGAAAAACAUACUCAGGAAAGGACAUGUUCUGUCUGGUCUCUGCUGCGGGCAGCAAACAAAGCCUUCAAAAACCUGCUUUACUCCUCCCAAUCAGAAACUGUGCUGUAUCCAGUGUGUCAUGUGCGUAAUUUAAUGCUCUGGAGUGCUGUUUACCUACCAUGUUCUUCCCCCUCCACCCCUGCUGAUGACACCUGUGCCCCUUACCCAGUUCCAGGCUCCAGCCCUGAAGAUCAGUCUCUGGGCAGGCUACCAAAGACAAGAUCGUUUGACAAUCUGACAACAGCCUGCGACAGCAACGUGCCUACAACUAACCGACGUAGUAGUGAUCCCAGCCUAAAUGAAAAGUGGCAAGAGCACCGUAGGUCUCUGGAGCUGAGCAGCCUUGGUAACCCAGGGGAUGAUCCAUUUGAUGGGGACAGCCUGAGCAAACAAGGCAGGGCUCUUGUUGGAGCAGAGCUUUCAGUUGCAGCUGGCGUGGCAGAGGGACAGAUGGAGAACAUUUUGCAGGAGGCCACCAAAGAGGAUGUUGGUCUGGAGGAGCUCUUGAGGGGUACCCUGGAGACAACAGGCAAAGAGGAUGAGGAGGAGGUUAUCCUGGGUAAGGAGAACAGAACUGAAAAUCUUGAUGGCUAUGUUGAUGGCCUCUAUGAAAAGACUGAGAUGGAUACAGAUAGUUUAAUAAACAAUCCAGUGUCCAAUCCACAUCCAGUUUCACAAGGUUCUUCUGAGCUUAAAAGACAACAGGAGGAGCCUAUGGAUCUCAGUAACAGUAUCCAGAAGUUACUUCAGGUGAAAGGACUACAAACUGUCCCCUUGCAGAGUACUGUAAAUAGUGACAUUCAGAAGAAUGUGGAGGAAGGUGUUAGUAGACUUAAUAUAGAAGCAGAGAGCCCUCCAUUGCCCAUCACAAUCCAACAUGAGGCAAAAACAUCCAACAUGGAAAGUUCUACCGAAACCUUGACAGAGAAUGGAGCAAAGCAAGAGCUGAUUCAGAAAGGCCCUCGCCACGGACCUCGUCUGAUGGACAACAGUGCUGAAGAACUUUCUCAAACAACUGAAAACAGACCGGAGGGGGAAAACAUGAUAGAGCUACACAGACUGGGAACAAAAGUAAACAGGACUUCUAACAGCAGCAACACACACAGCUCAAUGCCUUCCCCUUGUGCCUUGCCUUUAACUGAAUGUAAAGAUGAGAUUGUGUGUAAUGGGGAGCUGGAGACUGAGAACAAGGUGACAGAGAAACCUGCAGGAUUUAGUAUUACCCAGAAAUACCCUGCAGCAAAUGGACACUGUGUGAAUGGAGAGGAUGAUAGGAUCAAAGACUCUCUGAGCUGGCAGGUCUCUACAGCUAGUUGUAGUUCUGCCCAGUUUCACUUGAGGAACUUGCACCAUAAGUGGGUGCAUGGCCAUUCUGGGAGGCAACAGACAGUUAGCAGCCCAGACCAACCCACCAGGAGCCACUUGGAUGAUGAUGGGAUGCCAAUCUACACUGAUGUUAUCCAGCAGCGCCUGCGUCAGAUUGAAACUGGGCAUCAGCAGGAAGUGGAGAUAUUGAAGAAGCAAGUGCAGGAGUUGAGGAGCCGGUUGGAGAGCCAGUACCUGAAUAGUUCACUACGUUUCAAUGGCGAUUAUGGGGACGAAGUGACUUCAAUACCCGACUCGGAAAGCAAUCUGGAUCAGAACUGCUUGUCUCGCUGCAGCACAGAGAUUUUCUCUGAAGCCAGCUGGGAGCAGGUGGAUAAACAGGACACAGAGGUGACACGAUGGCUUCCAGACCACCUAGCUGCACACUGCUAUGGCUGUGACAGUACAUUCUGGCUUGCCAGCAGGAAGCACCACUGCAGGGACAUUGAACGUGUUGAUCAAACCUGAAAACACCAGAAAUGAAUCCUGGGUGGAUAAUACAGCCUGUCAGGUGUUUAGUUUCAUAUGACUCUGAUCAAGCAGCUCUUUCCACAGAAAGGCAUUUAGGACUAAGCUUUUUGUUAUGUAAUCCACAUCACAGUUCAAACUAACCCCCACUUCAGUGAGUCAUUUGUUUGAGAAACAAGAAACAAAAUUCAGACUGAAUAUAAGGCAUACAUUUUUAACAGUGCAAGUAAUUAACCCUUGGAACAACUUACCAAGGUUCGUGGUGGAUUCUCCAUUGACAAUUUUCAAAUCAAGAUUGGAUGUUUAAACCAAGAUUGGAAUUAUUUUGGGGAAGUUCUACAAGGGGUUAUUCAGAGGAUCAGACUAGAUGAUCAUGAUAGUUCCCUCUGGCCUUGGAAUCUGUGAAUGCUUCACUUCUAAUUGCAAGGAGCAACCUACAAAUUUAGUUGUUACCAGUUUAUUUUGAACCCUUUUCCUUUAUGUCUGAGUAUUUUGUGAAGUGUGAAUGAUAUAGGAGAGUGCUGGUGUGGCUGUGCCAUUUUAUCAGUAGUAAAAAAUACCGUGGGGGAAGCAACUAAGUAGAGCCUGGUGGAGAAAGGGUAAGGGUAGAUGUUUAUUACUUGGCAAGAGAAGGUGGGAGUGAUAGCAGGUUGUUGGGAAAGCAAAAGUCAGGUCGUCUCUCAGAGGAGGAAUAUGACAUUUUCCAUUGAGCCUCUGGUGUCUGUUAAAGAGGCAAGAUGGAUGAGAUUGAAUGAACCUCUAGCAAAGUACAAGGCCCUUCAGGAGUUAGGGGGAGAACCCUAAGAGAAAACAGAUCAGGUGUGUGAGACAAGCUGCUGAUCUAAACAGAUUUAAAAAAAUGUUUUGCUGCUUUUCUCCAGAAAACCAUUUUGUUCUAGUCUGUCAAAAGUAAGUUUCUGCUGGAUAAUUGUCCUUUCUGAAACAGAGCUCUAGAAUAUCUGAACUGCUUUCCUGCCGGGCUUCUCGGUAUUGCAUUGCAUUAAACUGUUUUCACUCCUGCGGUUUUUUCUAAUAGCAGUUUCUAAUGGAGUCCAUACGAAGACUUCAAAAACCACUGUACGAGUCUAGCCAAAGAAUUGUGGGAAUGUGUUUUGCUCCAGUUGCUGUAACCAGAAGGUGCCAGUUCCCAGUCAACAGCUCUUUGAACCCAGCAGAGUCUGCAAAUCUUGCUACAGCAGCUUGCAUCCCAGUAGUUCCAGCCUUGACC